ensembl:lncRNA
AUGCUGCCAAUUAUUAACUAUUCAUUGGCAGAUGGUAAAUCGGAUACAGCCGCUAUUCAUUGCCUCUGUUCUUUGCUGAUUCUUCAUGAGAGCCUCUUACUAUAUAUCAGGACUUCCUUCCUGGAUGGCAAUACCAAUUGGUCAAAAAAGGCAGUCAUCCAACGUUUAAAGGUCCACACCGGAGUCAGAGAUAAUCGUAAGAGAAUCAUUAACAUGUCCCACCACAGAAAUGUUGGAAUCAUCCGGUUAGGGUGUGACACAUGGAAGGAAUGAGGGCUAGGCACAGACUAGAAUACUGGGCUUACCGCUACAUUUGAGUGGACAGUUCUUAAAGGAGUGAAGCUGAGCUGAGGGAACAGGAAUGAGAAUCAAUGUAGAGGACUUGUUUUCCCCCUAAAACACAUUCUGUCCCCACUGGGGGAUUCUGGCAUGCUGCUGGUCAUGGGGGAGCUCAGCACAGCAGUGGGCAGAGGAAGGAGUCAAUACAGAAUACUGAGAAGAAAAAAUCAGCUGGGGCCAGUGGCUUAUGUCGGUAAUCCCAGCAUUUUGUAAGGCCAAGGUGGGAGGAUCGCUUGAACCCAGGAAUUUGAGGCCAGCCUGGGCAACAUAGCAAGACCCCAUCUCUAAAAAAAAAAAAGAAAUAGCUGGGCAUGGUAGAGCACAUAUGUGGUCCCAGCUGCUGGGGACACUGAGCCAGGAGGGCCACUUUAGCCCAGGAGGUCAAGGCUGCAGUGAGUAUAGCCCUGCCACUGCUCUCCAGCCUGGGCAACAGAGCAUGACCCUGUCUCAAAAAAUUUUAAAAGACCCAAAAGGUAGAAGAAGACAUCUCCUCUCUGAUUUAGUUUUUUCAUUUGAAGCAGAGAAUUUCUCCUAUUUUGUGGAUUCUUAUUCUAAUUUGCUUUGGUAAGCGCUGGAGUUGGAGGGGCUCUAUCCAAAAUGUUCCUGGCAUAGACUCACCUCUUUGGCACAGCCAGUGAGCUCCUUCUAUUCGUUUCUGGGCCCCCUGCUCAUAACACCUGUGUCUGGCUCAAAUCUGUCAUCUCAAGAGUUGGUGCUAGGGCCAUAUUAGGAGGAGAUGUAUUUUUAAAUCCCUUAGAAAAUAGCACUGGCAGUAAUUGGCUCUUAGAUCUCAGUAGUGCUUACUGGUUUGAUCUAUAAAAAUAUAUUUCCUCCCUCCACCCCUACCCAUUGCCUUAUUUUCUCUUCAUGUUGGGAAAUGAUUUUUCAUUUUAUUUCCUACUUUGUUCUGUGGAGUCCUGUACCAAUUUCACAAAUAGGAAAGAAAAGAAAAAUUUCUAUAUUUGUUUUCUUGCUGCUGCUUAAAUAUUGAUCUUUAGAAAUUUAUGAAGGAUUGCCUGAGGCCUCCUAGGAAGUCUAAAUUGGAAUUGUGAUUUUUCUUCUUGUUGCUUUGUAUGAGUCAUCAGGAAUAAGUAUUUUUGUUAUUUUUGAUGAUUAUUUUUAAAAUAACACUAACACUUUUCUUGGGGCUUAAUUCACUGCUGCAGAGGAUGUCACCACUGCUUAAAAGCUCUUGGGCAGUCAAUGCUGUCUGUAAUUGUUUGACAGAAGUUCUGUGAAAUUCCCUUUUCUAGUAUGCUCAGCACACGUUGUUACUACGCUUAAGUAAAUGUUUUUUCCACGGUUGCUUUUAACAGUCCUUAGAGAUUCUAGAAACCUCCUAUAAGAAGGUUGUGACCCUCUGGUUCUUUGUGACUGUGUGCCCAGAAGGAAAUUGACUCAUAUAUGAAGAGGCUACGCUUCUAAGGAAAAUUCUGACUCGGUAACUUCAGGUUGCUCUAUAAAGCAAAUAAGACCUCACACAGUAUCCUUCCCUUUUUUCUGCUUUUGUUUCUUUUGAAGGAAAAUGCUGAUAUUGCCUGUCACUUUUUAUGAUAUAUACAAAAUUGAUGACAACUAGAAAAAAUACUGCUUUUAAAAAGUGUUAAAUAGAAGAAUAUGCGUGCAGGUGCAUAGGUGAUGGAGGUGCUGGAAUAACAAGAGCCUUGAGUGGACUGUGAAAAAUCAGUGGCAGUUGAAGAUGUUGGAAAUACUCACCAUUGAGUCUGCCUUCUCAGUACCAUGGAGAGAAUUCUAGACUAAGCAAAGGAGUAUUGGCUAUUUGGAAGGUUAAAAUAGGUUACCUGUAAGUUUUCAAACAAUAAAUUGUCCAAAGUGUUCAAGAGACGUUUUUUUUUUUUUCUUAGUAACAGAGGAGAGAAAACCUUUUCUUUCAUAGAAUGAGUUAACAAGAUUGAUGCUUACGUAGUUUGGGCUAUGGAUCUCCUUUUGGUUGAGAAUUUCUAAUGAAUAUUUGGCAGUUAGGCUUACUACCUACGUAAAGAACAAAUGCUUCCUUAUGAUGUGGAGACAUAAUUAAACCGGAAGGUGGCAAAAUUGGUACUGAAAGAGGGAGCAUUUGCUGGGCAGCUGAUUCUAUGCAUUAGUGGGAUUUUCAAUUUCAUUCUGGCUUCACUUCUACUUAUUUCUGUACUCUGCAGUGGAUAGAAAUUGAAAAUCAACCCCUCAAUCUAUGUUGAAAGUAAGAAAAAAAAUUAGAAUAACUUUGACUAUUUUUAAAAUCUAUCAUUCAUGGAACAUUAACUACAUAAAACCAAGAAAUAUAAAAAUGCAAGAAGAAACCACCAUUAUUCACUGUUUUGUUUUAAGGUGUGGCUCAUUGUUCAACUUUCUUUUAUAUUACGAGUAUUCCCCCUCCCUCUCCAUGUCUUUGUACCAUAAGAAACUUUUUAAAAAUAAAAAAGCUAUAAUAAAAAUUAUAAGACACUGUAAAUGAAUGGUUUUAGUCAUCUGAAUCUUCUGUGACCCUUAGAAUUAAGGGGGAAAAAACCCACAAUGAUUAUGGCCAAUAAUAAUUCCUCCUUAUUUGAAGAAAUUCAACAGUUUUAGAACCAACUUUAAACUAUACAACCUGGCAUAUACACAUUAAAAAACACACACACACACAAAAUUGUUUACUAAGCAAGAACAAGAAUUCAUUAAAGAGACACGCCAGCUAUAGGAAGUUUCGAUUUUAAAUGUAAAGAGAGGAGGCAAUGGUACCUGACUUUUUACAUUUUGAUUUAUAUUGGCUUCUUUCCAGAAAAUGCUUUCAUUGGCUUUCAAAAACAAUUUAUUUUGUCUCCAACCCUUGGACUGAAACCGUCUUCAACGGAAAAUCUGAACACCUAGAUUU